UGAGGGAAUAUUUGGGUCAAUGGGCGAGAGCCUGAACCAGCCAAGUCGCGUGAGGGGAGACGGCCCUACGGGUUGUAAACCUCUUUUGUCAGGGAGCAAGGACGGAUACGCGUAUCCGGGCGAGAGUACCUGAAGAAAAAGCAUCGGCUAACUCCGUGCCAGCAGCCGCGGUAAUACGGAGGAUGCGAGCGUUAUCCGGAUUUAUUGGGUUUAAAGGGUGCGUAGGCGGGAUGCCAAGUCAGCGGUAAAAUUGCGUGGCUCAACCACGCCGAGCCGUUGAAACUGGUGUCCUUGAGUGGAAGAGAAGUACGCGGAAUGCGUGGUGUAGCGGUGAAAUGCAUAGAUAUCACGCAGAACUCCGAUUGCGAAGGCAGCGUACCGGCUUCCAACUGACGCUGAAGCACGAAAGCGUGGUAUCGAACAGGAUUAGAUACCCUGGUAGU
rnacentral:rRNA from 1 species